CGAAUGGGGAAACCCAGUGUGUUUCGACACACUAUCAUUAACUGAAUCCAUAGGUUAAUGAGGCGAACCGGGGGAACUGAAACAUCUAAGUACCCCGAGGAAAAGAAAUCAACCGAGAUUCCCCCAGUAGCGGCGAGCGAACGGGGAGGAGCCCAGAGCCUGAAUCAGUGUGUGUGUUAGUGGAAGCGUCUGGAAAGGCGCGCGAUACAGGGUGACAGCCCCGUACACAAAAAUGCACAUAUUGUGAGCUCGAUGAGUAGGGCGGGACACGUGGUAUCCUGUCUGAAUAUGGGGGGACCAUCCUCCAAGGCUAAAUACUCCUGACUGACCGAUAGUGAACCAGUACCGUGAGGGAAAGGCGAAAAGAACCCCGGCGAGGGGAGUGAAAAAGAACCUGAAACCGUGUACGUACAAGCAGUGGGAGCCUCUUUAUGGGGUGACUGCGUACCUUUUGUAUAAUGGGUCAGCGACUUAUAUUCUGUAGCAAGGUUAACCGAAUAGGGGAGCCGAAGGGAAACCGAGUCUUAACUGGGCGUUAAGUUGCAGGGUAUAGACCCGAAACCCGGUGAUCUAGCCAUGGGCAGGUUGAAGGUUGGGUAACACUAACUGGAGGACCGAACCGACUAAUGUUGAAAAAUUAGCGGAUGACUUGUGGCUGGGGGUGAAAGGCCAAUCAAACCGGGAGAUAGCUGGUUCUCCCCGAAAGCUAUUUAGGUAGCGCCUCGUGAAUUCAUCUCCGGGGGUAGAGCACUGUUUCGGCAAGGGGGUCAUCCCGACUUACCAACCCGAUGCAAACUGCGAAUACCGGAGAAUGUUAUCACGGGAGACACACGGCGGGUGCUAACGUCCGUCGUGAAGAGGGAAACAACCCAGACCGCCAGCUAAGGUCCCAAAGUCAUGGUUAAGUGGGAAACGAUGUGGGAAGGCCCAGACAGCCAGGAUGUUGGCUUAGAAGCAGCCAUCAUUUAAAGAAAGCGUAAUAGCUCACUGGUCGAGUCGGCCUGCGCGGAAGAUGUAACGGGGCUAAACCAUGCACCGAAGCUGCGGCAGCGACACUAUGUGUUGUUGGGUAGGGGAGCGUUCUGUAAGCCUGUGAAGGUGGCCUGUGAGGGUUGCUGGAGGUAUCAGAAGUGCGAAUGCUGACAUAAGUAACGAUAAAGCGGGUGAAAAGCCCGCUCGCCGGAAGACCAAGGGUUCCUGUCCAACGUUAAUCGGGGCAGGGUGAGUCGACCCCUAAGGCGAGGCCGAAAGGCGUAGUCGAUGGGAAACAGGUUAAUAUUCCUGUACUUGGUGUUACUGCGAAGGGGGGACGGAGAAGGCUAUGUUGGCCGGGCGACGGUUGUCCCGGUUUAAGCGUGUAGGCUGGUUUUCCAGGCAAAUCCGGAAAACCAAGGCUGAGGCGUGAUGACGAGGCACUACGGUGCUGAAGCGACAAAUGCCCUGCUUCCAGGAAAAGCCUCUAAGCAUCAGGUAACAUCAAAUCGUACCCCAAACCGACACAGGUGGUCAGGUAGAGAAUACCAAGGCGCUUGAGAGAACUCGGGUGAAGGAACUAGGCAAAAUGGUGCCGUAACUUCGGGAGAAGGCACGCUGAUAUGUAGGUGAAGCGACUUGCUCGUGGAGCUGAAAUCAGUCGAAGAUACCAGCUGGCUGCAACUGUUUAUUAAAAACACAGCACUGUGCAAACACGAAAGUGGACGUAUACGGUGUGACGCCUGCCCGGUGCCGGAAGGUUAAUUGAUGGGGUUAGCGGUAACGCGAAGCUCUUGAUCGAAGCCCCGGUAAACGGCGGCCGUAACUAUAACGGUCCUAAGGUAGCGAAAUUCCUUGUCGGGUAAGUUCCGACCUGCACGAAUGGCGUAAUGAUGGCCAGGCUGUCUCCACCCGAGACUCAGUGAAAUUGAACUCGCUGUGAAGAUGCAGUGUACCCGCGGCAAGACGGAAAGACCCCGUGAACCUUUACUAUAGCUUGACACUGAACAUUGAGCCUUGAUGUGUAGGAUAGGUGGGAGGCUUUGAAGUGUGGACGCCAGUCUGCAUGGAGCCGACCUUGAAAUACCACCCUUUAAUGUUUGAUGUUCUAACGUUGGCCCGUAAUCCGGGUUGCGGACAGUGUCUGGUGGGUAGUUUGACUGGGGCGGUCUCCUCCUAAAGAGUAACGGAGGAGCACGAAGGUUGGCUAAUCCUGGUCGGACAUCAGGAGGUUAGUGCAAUGGCAUAAGCCAGCUUGACUGCGAGCGUGACGGCGCGAGCAGGUGCGAAAGCAGGUCAUAGUGAUCCGGUGGUUCUGAAUGGAAGGGCCAUCGCUCAACGGAUAAAAGGUACUCCGGGGAUAACAGGCUGAUACCGCCCAAGAGUUCAUAUCGACGGCGGUGUUUGGCACCUCGAUGUCGGCUCAUCACAUCCUGGGGCUGAAGUAGGUCCCAAGGGUAUGGCUGUUCGCCAUUUAAAGUGGUACGCGAGCUGGGUUUAGAACGUCGUGAGACAGUUCGGUCCCUAUCUGCCGUGGGCGCUGGAGAACUGAGGGGGGCUGCUCCUAGUACGAGAGGACCGGAGUGGACGCAUCACUGGUGUUCGGGUUGUCAUGCCAAUGGCACUGCCCGGUAGCUAAAUGCGGAAGAGAUAAGUGCUGAAAGCAUCUAAGCACGAAACUUGCCCCGAGAUGAGUUCUCCCUGACUCCUUGAGA
rnacentral:rRNA from 1 species